UACGUAGGGUGCAAGCGUUAAUCGGAAUUACUGGGCGUAAAGCGCGCGUAGGUGGCUUAUUAAGCAGGGUGUGAAAUCCCCGGGCUCAACCUGGGAACUGCAUUCUGAACUGGUAAGCUAGAGUAUAGUAGAGGGUGGCGGAAUUUCUGGUGUAGCAGUGAAAUGCGUAGAUAUCAGAAGGAACAUCAGUGGCGAAGGCGGCCACCUGGGCUAAUACUGACACUGAGGUGCGAAAGCGUGGGGAGCAAACAGG
rnacentral:rRNA from 1 species